rnacentral:rRNA from 1 species
GACGGAGGGCGCAAGCGUUGUUCGGAAUUACUGGGCGUAAAGCGCGGGCAGGUGGUCUGUUAAGUCGUUUGUGAAAAUCCGGGGCUCAACCCCGUGAAAUGCGUACGAUACUGGCAGGCUGGAGAUCGGUAGAGGCUAGCGGAAUUCCUGGUGUAGCGGUGGAAUGCGUAGAGAUCAGGAAGAACACCCGUGGCGAAGGCGGCUAGCAGGGCCGAGUCUGACACUCAUCCGCGAAAGCGUGGGGAGCAAACAGG